GCGGCAGGCUUACACAUGCAAGUCGAGCGGUACACAGGGAGCUUGCUCCUUGGUGACGAGCGGCGGACGGGUGAGUAAUGUCUGGGAAACUGCCUGAUGGAGGGGGAUGACUACUGGAAACGGUAGCUAAUACCGCAUAACGUCUUCGGACCAAAGAGGGGGACCUUCGGGCCUCUUGCCAUCAGAUGUGCCCAGAUGGGAUUAGCUAGUAGGUGGGGUAAUGGCUCACCUAGGCGACGAUCCCUAGCUGGUCUGAGAGGAUGACCAGCCACACUGGAACUGAGACACGGUCCAGACUCCUACGGGAGGCAGCAGUGGGGAAUAUUGCACAAUGGGCGCAAGCCUGAUGCAGCCAUGCCGCGUGUAUGAAGAAGGCCUUCGGGUUGUAAAGUACUUUCAGCGAGGAGGAAGGCAUUGUGGUUAAUAACCGCAGUGAUUGACGUUACUCGCAGAAGAAGCACCGGCUAACUCCGUGCCAGCAGCCGCGGUAAUACGGAGGGUGCAAGCAUUAAUCGGAAUUACUGGGCGUAAAGCGCACGCAGGCGGUUUGUUAAGUCAGAUGUGAAAUCCCCGGGCUCAACCUGGGAACUGCAUUUGAAACUGGCAAGCUUGAGUCUUGUAGAGGGGGGUAGAAUUCCAGGUGUAGCGGUGAAAUGCGUAGAGAUCUGGAGGAAUACCGGUGGCGAAGGCGGCCCCCUGGACAAAGACUGACGCUCAGGUGCGAAAGCGUGGGGAGCAAACAGGAUUAGAUACCCUGGUAGUCCACGCCGUAAACGAUGUCGACUUGGAGGUUGUUCCCUUGAGGAGUGGCUUCCGGAGCUAACGCGUUAAGUCGACCGCCUGGGGAGUACGGCCGCAAGGUUAAAACUCAAAUGAAUUGACGG
rnacentral:rRNA from 1 species